rnacentral:tRNA from 1 species
GCCCACUUGACUCUUGCUGGUGCAAGAUAAGGCCUUCAAAGCCUUGGCAGCUGCAAAGCUGAGCGGUUCAAUUCCGCCUGGGGGGC